rnacentral:rRNA from 1 species
GUCAAUACGUAUUAUUAUUUCUGAGAGUCGGGUUGUUUGGGAUUGCAGCCUAAAGUGCGUGGUAAAUCUCACGUAACGCUAAAUAUUGACGAGAAACCGAUAGCGAACAAGUAGUGUGAACGAAAGAAGAAAAGAACUUUGAAAAGAGAGUGAAAAGUACUUGAAAUUGUUAAAAGGGAACCGUUUAGAACCAGUCUUUUAAGUGUAUUUAUGUUGCUUGGGUAUUCUUUCUGGAGGAGAGGUUUUUUAUUACAGUUCUUUUAGGGCUAAAUAAAGGGCCAAUCUGAAGGAAAAGUAUCUUACUCAAUGUAAGUACAGGUUAAUAUUAAUUUUUCGGAACUUGAAAUGCUUAAGGAAAAGGUGUUAUUAGAAUACCAACUAAUAAACAAUAUUCUUUAAGAGUAAAAGUUAAGGAGAUUUAAGGGGAAUAGUUUCUGGUAGACAAUAAGGUACUUUU